AGAGGGUUGGAGAGUAGGGAUGGAAAAACAGGGAAGGUUGGUGGUUGAAAAAGUGGGAGGAAGGUCAACUGUGACAAGGAGCUUCUCAAAGUACCCUCUCAAAUUCUUAGUACCCAGAAAGGUGGGUUCCUCUAAAGCUGAUGCUGUUUGGGUUUACACCCUCACCUAUGGUGGUGGCAUUGUCACUGGAGAUUCUAUUUCUUGUGAAUUUACCAUUGGAGAUGAUUGCACCACUGUCAUAACAACCCAAGCGUCCACCAAGGUAUACAAGUCGCUGGGGGCUAAGUGCUCUGAACAAGUUAUGGAGGCAAGAGUUGGGAGCAAUGCUCUUUUGGCUGUCAUUCCAGAUCCUGUGACAUGUUUUUCCACAGCGAGAUACUCCCAGAAACAAAUCUUUAGGGUAGUCUCUGACUCAAGUUUGGUCCUUGUUGAUUGGAUUACCAGUGGGCGUCAUGAAAGUGGAGAAAAAUGGGAUUUUGAUCUUUAUAAGAGUGCAAACCACAUCUUUAUAGGAGAUGAGCCUUUGUUUCUGGACAUGGUGCACCUGGAGAGUGGAAGUGCUUCUUCAAUUGCAGAACGCAUGCAGGACUAUCAAGUCAUUGCAAUGGUUGUACUGUUGGGGUUAGUAAUUUCAGCCAAAGAUAAAGUACAUUCAAGACCUAGUUCAAGAAAAUGUGAAAAGGAUGAUGUCUGAGCAAUUGCACAUUCCUUCCACUGCCUCAGGUCGCCAAAAGAAUUCAAAUUCUGAUUAUCGCUUCACCAAACCAAGCUUUAUUGCUUCUUCCAGUGUUUUUGGUCCUAAGGGAAUAGGGGUUGUUGUUCGUAUAGCUGCCACAACAACUGAAUCAGUUUACGAGUUCCUGCAGCAUCAAUUGGCCGGGAUGGAGCCACUACUUGGUGUAUCACCAUAUCACUAAACCUGCAUGUAGAAGUGUAGAAUGCUUCGUCUCAUGAGAGGAAUCAAUACUGGGGCUUAGGCUGUGAUUUUGCUGUAAGCAUGAAGUAGUUUUAUAACCCACAAACUAGAUUUAUAUUUUUGGCUCUUUCAUUUAUUUCCCCACCUACGAUCAGAUUUUUUUUUUUGUCUUCAACUCCUUUUUUUUUUUUUUGAAUAAAUGGGGUUUGGAACCCAGUCAAGUUAUUUAGUCUACAUUAUUUAUUACAAGUUACAACCAUUUGAAAGUUUUUGUUGGCUCUUCAUGUUUGAUAUAUAAUUAUACAUUCUAUAUUUAGUCAUUAUCGAACAUUAUUCCCCUUUUUCCCAAACGUGAUGUCCUUCUGGUUUGUACU